GGCAUGGCAGACUCACCCUGC
rnacentral:miRNA from 1 species